GUCUACGGCCAUGCCACCCUAAACAUGCCCAAUUCUGUCUGAUCUCGGAAGCUAAGCAGGGUUGGGCCUGGUUAGUAUUUGGAAGGGAGACCACCUAGGAAGACCAGGUGCUGUAGGCA
rnacentral:rRNA from 1 species